rnacentral:pre_miRNA from 1 species
CAAAGUGCUGUUCGUGCAGGUAGUGUGAUCACCUGACCUACUGCUGAGCCAGCACUUCCCGA